rnacentral:rRNA from 1 species
AUGGCUCCGCUCCUCCCCCUCCUCCUCGCGCUCGCCGGCCUCGCCGUCGCCGCCGCCCAGCCCGGCCAGCCUUUCCCCCCGUUCCUGCAGCAGUCCACCGACGCCUCCGACGCGGCCGCCCUGCUCGCGGUGUUCCAGCGGUGGGGUCUCCGGUACGGCCCGACGGUGAACCCGGGGGACCCGUGCGGGACGCGGGACUGGAUCGAGUCCUUCGCGCAGAACGCGUCCGUCGGCUGCAGCUGCGACGGCUCGCCCGUGUGCCGCAUCACGCACCUGAACGUCACCGGAUACUGGAAUCUGACCGAGAUCCCGCCAGAGCUCUUCAACUUGACGGAGCUGGUCUCUCUGGAUUUGAGCAAUAACAAUUUAAGCGGCGCAAUACCUCCAGAAGUUGCCAAUCUCUCCAAACUGGAAACAUGGCACUUCAACAACAACCAACUAAGUGGACCUUUUCCUAAUGAAUCUUCACCUUUAAGGAAUCUUCAAUCCCUGUGGAUGUUUGAUAACUACAUUGAAGGGCUAUUUCCAGACUUUAUUGCGAACUUUACCAAUCUCACGGACUUGAGAAUAUAUGGGAUGAAACUUCAAGGACCUAUUCCAAAACAAUUCUCUAAUUUGAUCAAUCUGAAAUAUCUGAUGCUUGGUGAUCUUGAUGGUGCGAAUUCUACUAUUGAUUUCAUACCAGAUUCAGCAAAUCUUUCGAUAUUAUCUCUGAGAAAAUGUGGGAUCGUUGGCCAGUUCCCUAGUACUCCCCCAACUUUACCCAAUCUAACAUACCUAGAUUUGAGGUCAAACAAUCUAUCAGGCCAAUUACAACUACUGCUUCCGUAUAAGAGUUCAAGAUACCUGUACGCGGGUGACAAUGACUUUAGUGGACAUCUGCCUGCUGAAUUUAUUCAGCCAUCACUUGCUUUGGAUAUUUCCUAUAAUCCUUUUAUUAAUGGACUCCUUCCUAACAAUCCGACUGAUCGCAAGUUGUCAGUAAAUUAUAUUGGGACUGCAAUUGAUACAAGCAGAGCGAUUAACAGUGAAAACCUCACUCUCCUCAACUGUCUCCACAUGAAAGAAUGCAACAGAAAAUAUUAUGCUAAUGCUAUAACCUCCUUUGCUGUAAACUGUGGCGGCAAGCAAACAAUUUAUUCAGAUCCAUUGCCAAUUAGAUUUGACGAUGACACCACUGACCUUGGAGCAGCAGGUUUUCAUGUUAAUACUAGCAUGCAAUGGGUAGUUAGUCAUGUGGGUUCUGAUCCUUUUCGUGAGUCUCCUCGUUUUGUAAAUACAAGUCAAGUUAUUCUGGGAACAGACAUGCCUGAACUGUAUCAAACAGCAAGGACAUCAAGAAGUGCUUUGUGGUACUAUAUAGUUGGUUUGUCUAAUGGGAAAUACACAGUUCAACUCUUCUUCGCAGAGAUAGUUAUUGAAAAGCCAGGAAAGCGCCUAUUUAACAUUGAUAUUCAGGAUCGAAAUAUCAAGACAGAUUUCGACAUUACUAAGGAAGCAGGGGGGUUCAGAAGACCCACAAACAUAACUUACGAAGUGACAGUGGUUAACUCGGUACUUAAGAUACAUCUGCAUUGGAAUGGACGAGGCACAUGCUGUAUUCCAUAUGAAGGAGCUUAUGGGCCUCUGGUAUCAGCAAUAAGAGUUUUUCGCCCCGAAAGUCCGAACAACAGCCCCCCACCAGCACGGCCAGUGUCUGCGCCAAGUAAUGAUGACAAGCGAAGAGGAGUGGUUGCAGGCAUUGCAGCUCUGUGUAUAGCUGCGGCGGUGAUCUCUUCGUCCGUCGUUUACCUUUGGUGGAAAUGGGUUGCACUGGUAAAGCAUCCAAAUGCAUGA